GCGCCCGUAGCUCAGUUGGCAGAGCGGUGGAACGCUGAUCCACAGUCCCGGGUUCAAGUCCCGGCGGUCGCU